rnacentral:rRNA from 1 species
GGUCAAGUUAUUAAGGGUGCAGGGCGGAUGCCUUGGCACUAGGAGCCGAUGAAGGACGUGAUAAGCUGCGAUAAGCUUCGGGGAGUUGCACGUAAACUUUGAUCCGAAGAUUUCCGAAUGAGGAAACUCACUUAGAGUAAUGUCUAAGUAUCAUUAAGUGAAUACAUAGCUUAAUGAGGGGAACUCAGGGAACUGAAACAUCUAAGUACCUGAAGGAAGAGAAAGAAAUUCGAUUCCGUAAGUAGCGGCGAGCGAACGCGGAUUAGCCCAAACCAAUAAAGUUUUCUUUGUUGGGGUUGCGGACAUAUCAUAACGAAGAGGUAUCGUAAUUGAAGAGGUUUGGAAAGACCCACCACAGAAGGUAAUAGUCCUGUAUGUUAAACGAGAAGACUUCAGAUAUGAUCCAGAGUACCACGGGACACGUGAAACCCUGUGGGAAGCAGGAGGGACCACCCUCCAAGGCUAAAUACUACCUAGUGACCGAUAGCGUAUAGUACCGUGAGGGAAAGGUGAAAAGAACCCCGGGAGGGGAGUGAAAUAGAACCUGAAACCCUGCACUUACAAGCUGUGGAAGCACAUUUCUUGUGUGACCGCGUACUUUUUGUAGAACGGGCCAACGAGUUACGUUAAGUAGCAAGGUUAAGCACUUAAGGUGCGGAGCCGUAGCGAAAGCGAGUUUUAACUGAGCGUUCAGUUACUUGACGUAGACCCGAAACCGGGCGACCUACCCAUGAGCAGGAUGAAGCGAAAGUAAAAUUUCGUGGAGGUCCGAACCCACGAGCGUUGAAAAGCUCGGGGAUGACUUGUGGGUAGCGGUGAAAUUCCAAUCGAGCCCGGAGAUAGCUGGUUCUCCCCGAAAUAGCUUUAGGGCUAGCCUCAAGGUGAGAGAUACGGAGGUAGAGCACUGAAUGUCCUAGGGGGUAUUGCACCUACCGAAGACUAUCAAACUCCGAAUGCCGUCAUCUUAUACUUGGGAGUCAGACUGUGGGUGAUAAGAUUCAUAGUCGAAAGGGCAACAGCCCAGAUCGUCAGCUAAGGUCCCUAAAUGUAAGUUAAGUGGUAAAGGAUGUGGGAUUGCACAGACAACCAGGAUGUUGGCUUAGAAGCAGCCACUCAUUCAAAGAGUGCGUAAUAGCUCACUGGUCGAGUGAUCCUGCGCCGAAGAUUUCCGGGGCUAAAACUUACUACCGAAGCUACGGCAUCAGUAAUGAUGGGUAGGGGAGCUUCCCAUACGGGUUGAAGCAUGACCGUAAGGACAUGUGGACAGUAUGGGAGUGAGAAUGUUGGCAUGAGUAGCGAGAUGUGGGUGAGAAUCCCACAGGCCGUAAACCCAAGGUUUCCAGGGGAAGGUUCGUCCGCCCUGGGUUAGUCGGGACCUAAGCUGAGGCCGAAAGGCGUAGGUGAUGGACAACAGGUUGAUAUUCCUGUACUACCGAUAACCGUUUGAGAGAAGGGAUGACACAGUAGGAUAAGCUAAGCACACUGUUGGUUAUGUGUGCCCAAGCAUUGAGGCAGUCAAAGUAGGCAAAUCCGCUUUGAUAAUGCUGGGAUGUGAUGGGGAGCGAAAUUUAGUAGCGAAGUAGCUGAUUUCACACUGUCAAGAAAAGUCUCUAUCGAGGUUAAAGGUACCCGUACCGCAAACCGACACAGGUGGGUGAGGAGAGUAUCCUAAGGCCAGCGAGAGAACUGUUGUUAAGGAACUCGGCAAAAUGACCCCGUAACUUAGGGAUAAGGGGUGCCACCAUCAGGUGGCCGCAGAGAAUAGGCCCAAGCGACUGUUUACCAAAAACAUAGGUUUCUGCUAAGUCGCAAGACGAUGUAUAGGAGCUGACGCCUGCCCGGUGCUGGAAGGUUAAGGGGAUCUGUUAGAGCAAUCGAAGCAGUGAACUUAAGCCCCAGUAAACGGCGGCCGUAACUAUAACGGUCCUAAGGUAGCGAAAUUCCUUGUCGGGUAAGUUCCGACCCGCACGAAAGGCGUAACGAUUUGGGCACUGUCUCAACAACAGACUCGGUGAAAUUGUAAUUCCGGUGAAGAUGCCGGAUACCUGCGACAGGACGGAAAGACCCCAUGGAGCUUUACUGUAGCUUGACAUUGGGUCUUGGUACUACAUGUACAGGAUAGGUGGGAGGCUUUGAAACCAGGACGCCAGUUUUGGCGGAGCCAUCCUUGGGAUACCACCCUUGUAGUACUGGGACUCUAACCAUAGGCCAUGAAUCUGGUCUUGGGACACUGUCAGGUGGGCAGUUUGACUGGGGCGGUCGCCUCCCAAAAGGUAACGGAGGCGCUCAAAGGUUCUCUCAGUACGGUCGGAAAUCGUACGUAGAGUGUAAAGGCAAAAGAGAGCUUGAUUGCAAGACAUACAGGUCGAGCAAGGAUGAAAAUCGGACUUAGUGAUCCGGUGGUUCUGCGUGGAAGGGCCAUCGCUCAACGGAUAAAAGCUACCCUGGGGAUAACAGGCUUAUCUCCCCCAAGAGUCCACAUCGACGGGGAGGUUUGGCACCUCGAUGUCGGCUCAUCACAUCCUGGGGCUGUAGUAGGUCCCAAGGGUUGGGCUGUUCGCCCAUUAAAGUGGUACGCGAGCUGGGUUCAGAACGUCGUGAGACAGUUCGGUCCCUAUCCGUCGCAGGCGUAGGAAAUUUGAGAAGACCUGUCCUUAGUACGAGAGGACCGGGAUGGACGUACCUCUGGUGUACCAGUUGUUCUGCCAAGGGCAUGGCUGGGUAGCUAUGUGCGGAAUGGAUAAGCGCUGAAAGCAUCUAAGCGCGAAGCCAACUUCAAGAUAAGAUUUCCCACCGCAAGGGUAAGACCCCAGAAAGACUAUCUGGUUGAUAGGUCGAAGGUGUAAGUGCAGCAAUGUAUUUAGCUUAUCGAUACUAAUAGGUCGAGGACUUGACCAA